UCUUUUGUGGUAUUUUUGGAUCCUUACCAAGGCAGUGAUGACAUAUGCCUUCUCUCAAAGUAUGUAGUAUUUGUGGUAUAAGGCAUAGUGAUAUUGCCUUCUCUCUCAUCCUACUCUAAUAAGGCUUUGAUAUCUUGAGCUCAUAGGUGGGAGAUAAAAUAUACAUACUUACAAGACAUUUAUUGCCUAUAAAUCCAUGGAUCCAGAGAAACAAGUCAAUAAGUCAAAUCAAGAUGUGCAUGUGUGGC
rnacentral:lncRNA from 1 species